UGCAAGUCGAACGCUUCUUUUCCCACCGGAGCUUGCUCCACCGGGAAAAGAGGAGUGGCGAACGGGUGAGUAACACGUGGGUAACCUGCCCAUCAGAAGGGGAUAACACUUGGAAACAGGUGCUAAUACCGUAUAACAAUCGAAACCGCAUGGUUUCGUUUUGAAAGGCGCUUUACGGUGCCGCUGAUGGAUGGACCCGCGGUGCAUUAGCUAGUUGGUGAGGUAACGGCUCACCAAGGCCACGAUGCAUAGCCGACCUGAGAGGGUGAUCGGCCACAUUGGGACUGAGACACGGCCCAAACUCCUACGGGAGGCAGCAGUAGGGAAUCUUCGGCAAUGGACGAAAGUCUGACCGAGCAACGCCGCGUGAGUGAAGAAGGUUUUCGGAUCGUAAAACUCUGUUGUUAGAGAAGAACAAGGGUGAGAGUAACUGUUCACCCCUUGACGGUAUCUAACCAGAAGCCACGGCUAACUACGUGCCAGCAGCCGCGGUAAUACGUAGGUGGCAAGCGUUGUCCGGAUUUAUUGGGCGUAAAGCGAGCGCAGGCGGUUUCUUAAGUCU
rnacentral:rRNA from 1 species